CCUACGGGUGGCUGCAGUGGGGGAUAUUGCACAAUGGGGGAAACCCUGAUGCCGCGACGCCGCGUGGGUGAAGAAGUAUUUCGGUAUGUAAAGCCCUAUCAGCAGGGAAGAAAGAAGACGGUACCUGCCUAAGAAGCCCCGGCUAACUACGUGCAAGCAGCCGGGGUAAUACGUAGGGGGCGAGAGUUAUCCGGAUUCACUGGGUGUAAAGGGAGCGUAGACGGCCGUGCAAGCCAGGAGUGAAAGCCCGGGGCCCAACCCCGGGACUGCUCUUGAAACUGUGCGGCUGGAGUGCGGGAGGGGUAAGCGGAAUGCGUGGUGUAGCGGUGAAAUGCGUAGAUAUCAGGCGGAACACCGGCGGCGAAGGCGGCCUGCUGGACCGAGACUGACGUUGAGGCUCGAAAGCGUGGGGAGCGAACAGGAUUAGAUACCCUAGUAGUC
rnacentral:rRNA from 1 species